CUCUUGACGUUAGCGGCGGACGGGUUAGUAACACGUGGGUAACCUACCUAUAAGACUGGGAUAACUUCGGGAAACCGGAGCUAAUACCGGAUAAUAUUUCGAACCGCAUGGUUCGAUAGUGAAAGGUGGUUUUGCUAUCACUUAUAGAUGGACCCGCGCCGUAUUAGCUAGUUGGUAAGGUAACGGCUUACCAAGGCGACGAUACGUAGCCGACCUGAGAGGGUGAUCGGCCACACUGGAACUGAGACACGGUCCAGACUCCUACGGGAGGCAGCAGGA
rnacentral:rRNA from 1 species